AUUGAACGCUGGCGGCAUGCCUUACACAUGCAAGUCGAACGGCAGCGGACCUUCGGGUGCCGGCGAGUGGCGAACGGGUGAGUAAUAUAUCGGAACGUACCUUUCAGUGGGGGAUAACGUAGCGAAAGUUACGCUAAUACCGCAUAUUCUGUGAGCAGGAAAGCAGGGGAUCGCAAGACCUUGCGCUGAUUGAGCGGCCGAUAUCAGAUUAGCUAGUUGGUGAGGUAAAGGCUCACCAAGGCGACGAUCUGUAGCGGGUCUGAGAGGAUGAUCCGCCACACUGGAACUGAGACACGGUCCAGACUCCUACGGGAGGCAGCAGUGGGGAAUUUUGGACAAUGGGCGCAAGCCUGAUCCAGCCAUGCCGCGUGUGUGAAGAAGGCCUUCGGUUGUAAG
rnacentral:rRNA from 1 species